GACGAACGCUGGCGGCGUGCCUAACACAUGCAAGUCGAGCGAUGAAGCUCCUUCGGGAGUGGAUUAGCGGCGGACGGGUGAGUAACACGUGGGUAACCUGCCUCAUAGAGAGGGAUAGCCUUCCGAAAGGAAGAUUAAUACCUCAUAAGAUUGUAGUUUCGCAUGAAACGGCAAUAAAAGGAGCAAUCCGCUAUGAGAUGGACCCGCGUCGCAUUAGCUAGUUGGUAAGGUAAUGGCUUACCAAGGCGACGAUGCGUAGCCGACUUGAGAGGGUGAUCGGCCACAUUGGGACUGAGACACGGCCCAGACUCCUACGGGAGGCAGCAGUGGGGAAUAUUGCACAAUGGGGGAAACCCUGAUGCAGCAACGCCGCGUGAGUGAUGACGGUCUUCGGAUUGUAAAACUCUGUCUUUGGGGACGAUAAUGACGGUACCCAAGGAGGAAGCCACGGCUAACUACGUGCCAGCAGCCGCCGUAACAC
rnacentral:rRNA from 1 species